GUCUGAAUAUACCCUAAGAUUGCGUGCGAAUUUCAAGUGUGUUUACGUUCGUAUUGUACGUGUAUGACGUGUAUUUAUAUAUUUCAACGUGUACAUUUGUUUAUUAUUAAUGUAAAAAUAUAAUUAUAAUUAUAAUACGGAUCAUUUAUCGAAAUACAGAUUAAGUUUAACAAGACUCGUGAUUAUAAAUAUUGCAAUAUGUGAUGAAUCUCAAUUUAACCUCAAAAUGCUGAAAAGUGGGAUACUAGAGUGAGAAAAAGUCAUGUACAUACUAUCUUCUUUAUAAAGAUAUAAAUUAUUUUACGCAGUUUAUAAAUAAGAAAUGCAAGAAAAUGUAUCCUGCAAAUCAUAAGACUGUGUUCGUACUGGAUCGCACUCCAUAUUUCGGCAUCUCUACCGAAUGUCCACUGGAGUUCGAUUUUUUAAAGAGCAGGGGACAAAAUCUUAUUCCACUAGCUCCGGUGUGCAAGUCCUUGUGGACCACGAGCGUUGAAGCCUCAUUGGAGUACUGUCGUAUUGUAUGGGAUCUUUUUCCCACAGGCAAAUUGAUUAGAUUUGUUGUUACCGAUCGUGCUGCUUAUGUAUUGAAUUCAUGGAGUCCAUUGCAACAGAAUUUAAAUCAUAUUAUGAAUGGCACUGCUAUUUUGGGAGUGCCAACGAAGGUACCGGAACCUGGGGAAGACUAUUCGGUGAUACACGGUUUGCGUGUGGCUAUCGAAGCUCUGAAUGACUGUUCCGACAUACAGCAUGAAAAAAGAACUUCUCUGAAUGAAAACACUAAUAAACUGGUGAAUAGAGGCAGGGUAAUAUGUAUUACAAGUGCACGUGACAACACCAAUAUGAAGAGCUUGGAGAAUAUAUUUUUGAGUGAAUUGGUACAAGAAAAUAAGCAUGCAUUAGCCUCAGAUAACAUGAUACCCAUUGACUAUUGUCACUUGGUUAUUCUGAAUAUAUACCCCAACAAUAUCGAAUCUCAAGUCACAAGUCAAGGCCCUAGAGUGGUAUCACCAUUACUCACAGUGGAAGUACAUUCAAUCAAGGCUUCAGCGCUUCACUCGAAACUCUCACAUUUGAUUUUAUCUCAUUACGACCUCGCCAGUACGACAGUGACAGGUAUACCUAUGAAAGAAGAGCAGAAUGCCAGUUCAUCCGCCAAUUACGAUGUGGAAAUAUUUCACUCUUCGGCUGCUCACACUGCCAUUCUGAAAGGAAACCCGCAAGACUCGGCAUUGAUAAAAACCUUCAGGCGUUUUGAGGAAGGAUCCGAAUAUGAGACGGUAACACUGAAGUGGUGCACGCCGCGCGGCUGCAGCGCAUCGGAGAUGCAGAACUGUACGGCAAUGCAUCGAAUUACGCCGGUGGACGUUAAUAGCAGACCUUCCUCGUGUUUGAUUAAUUUUCUAUUAAACGGUAGAUCUGUAAUGUUAGAGAUGGCUAGGAAAACCGGUGGAAAGACUAUUUCUCACCUGUUGGCAGCUCAUGGUGGCGAAAUAUUUAUUCACACUUUAUCCACCGCUCGAAGCGUUCUCGAGGAUCCACCGUCUAUUAGUGAAGGCUGCGGAGGACGAGUCACAGAUUACAGAAUAACCGACUUUGGCACUCUUAUGCGAAAUAACAUCUUAGUACCGCUAAAGCGCACUUCUAAUUCUAACAGUGACGGUCUAGUAGAGAAGAUGAGAUGUAGAUUGGAACGGCACACGAAGUAUUGGCCGAUGACAAUUUCCAGUACUCUCAUGUUCAACAUAAAACAGGUGAUAGAUCCUCUUCCAGAACUAAUGGUGAAGGACGAGCUUUCUGCGGAGGAGGUACUGCAGUGCAAGCAGGUGAUCUUCAGUUUGAUCGGAUUGGAAGCGAAGCACGAGGCUUUACCACUACCAAGCAUCGGCGGAGGACGCGGCGGGAAAGGAGGAGUACGUAGAGAGGAACAUUAUCGUCUACUGUGGGACGAGAUAGAAACAUUCCUCAAGCAUCAUGCGAACAACUCGGCCGCGCAUACCGAAGUGCUCAAUUGUUUGUUGGAGAUCAGGAACAAGAAUGACAAGGACAAGGUGGAGCUCGAUCAAGCUCUGCGAGAAUUAGACAGUUUUGGUAAAGAGGACGGAGCUACCCGAGUCAGCGUAAUCAGAGCGACAACGGAUUCGCCGAUGUCGCCACCGGGAAGCGUGUCGAUAUCGUUGAGCAAACAAUUGCACAAGGGUAACGCUGGAUCAAAGAGCCUCCUAGAUAUCUGGUUGCAGCGCAGUGCUCCGAAAGACAGAAAACCGGACUUUCACGGCAGGAUCAACAGUGACGGUCCUAAAGCGAAGCUAUAUCCAAAUAUGAAGGACGUGGGAAGAGAACCCAGAGAGCCUAUACUGGAAGGAUAAUGCGUAAAAGAAGGUUAAAGAAACGGAGCGGAGAAGCCAUAUGCGACAUUGCGCGUUGUAAAUAUAAUUGACAUCGGAUAUAUUAACAGACUUAUCGGACGUUCGUGACUGCAUUUAUUUCAUAAAUUUGAAUUACACAGAAGAGUGUUUUAACAUAAUUACGAUCAUAUUAAGAUAUUAAAAAUCGUUGAAAGCAAAUACAAUUCUGAUUUGGUUUAUUUUCUGAACUCUAAAUAAUUUCCACAUCUUUCGAAUGUUUUAUAAUUGAAUAAAAAUUGCAGAGGGAGAAAAGCACUUGUUAAAAAAUGCUGUAGAAAACGAUAGCGCGUGAAUGCAGAAAAAAAACCCGAAUCUAAAUCUACAUACGCAACAGAACAGGGAAAGGUUCAAGGAUUCAACUGGAAUGUGAGAAGAUAGCUCCAGGCCAAGGACGAAGCUAGAAUUUGCGGAUACGAUUAUCCGAAUAAUUACCGUCCGCCAAUUCCGUGUCGUGCGAAGACCCAUCUGUGUUCGGGAGUAUGUGUGAGACGAAAGUGUAUCAGUGGUACAACACCAUUCCCAUCUCCCUUCUCCUCCAUUCUGCCGUCAGCUUCUCCACCCCUCCCGCUGUUUUAUAGUCGACACGUCUGCCGAGUGUCUGAGCCGUCUGAACAAUACGUUGACCUCCGUCGAACCUAUAGUUCACUUCGGCAUGUGCCCCGCCGUACUAAUCGAUGGAUGUGGAAGGAUGCCAGAGUGAGAGGAGCAAGGAGAGGAAGAGCCCGGCAUGUAACUCGGCAUGACGCAUACACGAUCUCUCUCGGUUCGAGAGAGACGGACAAUGGCAAGGAAAGAGACACACAGUCUGAGGAAAGCCCGUAGUAUAUAUACCCAGGAAUUUGGAAGUUCACAGAUGUCAAUGGUGAAAACAUCUGGAGAGACUUAAGAUUAAGGAACUUGGAGCGCACAGAACGCCACACGAAUCCCAGUUGCUGAGAUAAAGAAGUAAAAAAUCUUAGAUAUCAAGAAUUAAGAUUCCGAAGAAUUAAGAAUUUUUACACGAUGAAGAAUUAAAGAUUCGCAAGCUUUUGGCCCCGUGCAUUCGAAGACGAUGAAAUCCUGGCUAUUCCUCAGGACUGUUCCGUAUUUAAAGAUCCAUCUGAAUUUAUGCACAAAUCACUUUUCCAACAAGAAGCGUUAAGAAAGAAUGCGAUUGAAAGAAAAUUACGCAACGAUCAAAUCAGUCUAUUUUAAGCGAGGCUAUUACUUAUGCUACACCUUGUAUAAUGCAAGCCGCUAAAAGAGAGACAGACGAGAAGGUGGCUAGGGGGCGAGAGGAUUACGACGAGGACGAGGUGGAGGAGGAGGAGGAGAACGAGGAAGAGGAAGAGGAAGAGGUGGAGGAGGGUUGCGGAAGGGGACCAGUGAGUACAAGUGCAUGACGUAACGGUUCAUUCAUCCCGAGACAGGCGAUAGAGGAUACCCCGGUCAAUGGUAUACUUAUGCAUGUAAACGCGCGCAUACGUGUGUACGUAUGCCGUAUGUAAGUAUGAGUGUGCAACGUGCAUACGUCUGUCGCGCUGCUCAUUUUUUUUCGGACGUACGCGCCACGUGCAUGCGUGUGUGCAGCGAUAAAGCAGCAUACGAUAGCAUGUGGCAGUAUUUUGUUAUUUUCUUUUCUCGAGAAGGUUGAAUGAGAGUUGAUAAUCUUUUUUUGUUUCAUUAUUUAUAUUAGAUAUUGCAAGUUAAAUAAGAUCUUCAUUCAAAAAUACACUUAAAAUAAAUUAACAACUUUUGAUAAGUAAUAAAGCAGGCGAAGUUUAAUAUGUAUAAUACGUGAUAUUUGAUAUAUAUGAAUAUGUGAUAUUUGAUACUUUUAUUGAUGAAGACCGACAUCAAUCAAAUUUUCAUUAUGCAUUUAUUGUUUCCGGAAAAGCGGGAUGUAUGAUCAAUGCUGUAAAAUUUAUUUUGUUAAAUAAUAAUUUAACCGAAGUGAAAUUCAUAUUAGUUAUAUGCUUAAUUUUAUUAUAUAGACUUGUUAUAUAUUUGCAAAACAAAUUUUAUUUGAGCAGAGAUUUCAGGAGCAUCAGUUUUUAGAUUCUUCAAAAAAUGUUCGGAAAAAAUUGUACUUUAAAAGUCGCGCCAGCCUUAAUUCGCGCUAGUUCCAAAUCAUAUUUUUCUAAAUCGAGUAGUCAACUCUUGACAUUUGAAUUCGUAUCUUACUUCAGUUUGAUUUCCAUUUUAACGAGAUAUAUUUAAUACAUUGUCGAUUUUAUCUGUUUCUUCCUCGAAUUUGUGUAACGCGUUUUGUGUGGUAAGAAUCUUAACUAUUUUAUUAAUUAAUCAUUGCAUUAAGCGACUAAAAUUUAUGUUGUUUGAUUUUAUUGGACAGGUUUUACUGGAAACGUCAAUUUUUAACCUAAAUCUAUUCAAAUCCAUUUCCAUCUAACAAUAAGCAUAUCCACACAUAUUAAUAUAGCUACUAAAUACGAUCAAUAAUUGCCAUGUGAUAUUAGUCGACGAUAGCGUUAAAUAUAAUGGGCGAUGAACUCAAUGCUGCUAAAAUUGCGAACGGAAUCAGGAAUUCUAGCUCUGGCUCUUUGCUACGCCGGACCGAAUCGAAUCGAUUGGCGAAUCUAAUUGGCAUUAUAUUAUCAGCGCCGUCAAUGCUUUAUGCCAUCAAUAUUAAAUACGAAAUAUACCAGCAGCGCAAUGCUGAAUACGUAAAUGGACAUAUUAAUCGCUAAUAGCGCGGCGCAUAGCAGUGGCUGGUAUCGCGUCAUGGCGAUACAGGAGUGCAGCGUUUAUAUAAUUGAAACUCGCAUAUAUAUAUAGCUGGUACAUAUCGAUCGCGGCCUCGAGGGUCACUGAACGAAACGAAGCGGCACAGCGCGAGCAUAGCAGCGUCCUUAUGCGCCAAUAAAUAAUUAUAAACAGGAGUUUUAAUGUGAAAACUCUGAUAAGCGCUGAAUCAAUGCCAAAUGAAUGGGAUUAUAUAAAAAGAAAUUAACGGAACAAAUAUAUUUCUGAGUUUAAAUUUUA
rnacentral:misc_RNA from 1 species